rnacentral:rRNA from 1 species
CCUACGGGGGGCUGCAGUGGGGAAUAUUGGACAAUGGGCGAAAGCCUGAUCCAGCCAUGCCGCGUGUGUGAAGAAGGCCUUCGGGUUGUAAAGCACUUUCAGUGGGGAAGAAAGCCUUGGGGCUAAUACCCUCGAGGAAGGACAUCACCCACAGAAGAAGCACCGGCUAACUCCGUGCCAGCAGCCGCGGUAAUACGGAGGGUGCGAGCGUUAAUCGGAAUUACUGGGCGUAAAGCGCGCGUAGGGGGUCUGAUAAGCCGGUUGUGAAAGCCCCGGGCUCAACCUGGGAACGGCAUCCGGAACGGUCAGGCUAGAGUGCAGGAGAGGAAGGUAGAAUUCCCGGUGUAGCGGUGAAAUGCGUAGAGAUCGGGAGGAAUACCAGUGGCGAAGGCGGCCUUCUGGACUGACACUGACGCUGAGGUGCGAAAGCGUGGGUAGCAAACAGGAUUAGAUACCCGAGUAGUC